GAAAAACCUCAUCAGCCUGAACAAGUGAAAAAAGGAUUGUAAAAUAACCUCUAACAUGCUGUAGUGUGAUGACAGCACACAAACUGCAUCCUUUAUUUUCUUGAUGACAGAAAGCAGUCGUCAGCUGUUCUUAACAGCUCUGAGCACCUCACUUUCCUGAAAUGCAACGCCAGCCUGCCUGUCUCUGUGUUUAUUGAUCAGUGCCUAAAAAAGCUCUGCUAGUUCAAUAGGUCUGCAGUCCUGCAGCUGCUUCAAAGUAUGUUCAAGAGAGUCAUAAUUUCUGUAAUGUCAACAAAUCCCUCCUCUUAAGUUUAUUGAUCUCAGCUUAAGACAGAGCAGACCUGUUGUCUAUCUAGUACUGGAUCAAUAGUAGCUGACAUGUGCAAGGUCAAAAACUGAACCCAAACAGUAAGUGAAGACUUUCUCCCACGAACAUGUUCUAAACCAACACGCUGUCUCAUCCUAAUGUUACUAACACAGCAGCUGGGUCACUGCACGGCCCUGAGAUCCAAAACCUGACGUGUGUGAAACAGCAGGACUCUGCAGCAGGAAGCCAUGAAGAUAUGACAUUAGAUCCUGAACCCCACUAAAUCUAUACAACACAGAUAUUAUCAAAGAGACUUUUGCUGACAACCUUCAAUCUGCACCAUUGUGUAACUGUGUGAGUUAUGUUCUCUCUUAGUUUGAAAGCACAUUUUCACUGAGCAUGCUUUCUGUAUUUCUCCUUUCUUUUCUUUUUAGUAUCCUUAUUUGGCUUUCUUAGAAAGGGAGACUCUGCAUUUUUUGCAGAUAAAGAGUUGAAAAUCA